rnacentral:lncRNA from 1 species
UCCAAUGCAUCUAGAUUAAUUAAUUACAUGAUUAAAGAGAGAGAAAUGAGCUACUUUAAUUUUUCAUUUCUCCCAAACCCUUCUCUCUCUAGAAAUCCGAAUUACAGAGUGUGAGAGAGUGAGGAGAUAAGCUAAUAUCAGUAAUCAGCAAGACAAGAUCAGCAACAAAGGAUCAAAAUCAAAAAUCAAAGCUAAAAGGUAUUAAAACCCUAAAUUUUUGAAAUCCUUUGAUCUUAUGUUAAUUUUUGUAAUUGAUUAUUUAAAGUUGUGUAAUAGGGUGUCAAUUGAUGAUCUGGGUUGAUAAAUCAUGAAUCCAUAACAUCAAAGUGCACGAAUUUGAAGAUUUAAGCAAGUUGAAAAAACCGAAUUCUGUUAUUUUUCACCAAAUAUCAGAGGCCAUA